rnacentral:rRNA from 1 species
CCUACGGGAGGCAGCAGUGAGGAAUAUUGGUCAAUGGACGCGAGUCUGAACCAGCCAAGUAGCGUGAAGGAUGACUGCCCUAUGGGUUGUAAACUUCUUUUAUAUGGGAAUAAAGUGGUCCACGUGUGGAUUUUUGUAUGUACCAUAUGAAUAAGGAUCGGCUAACUCCGUGCCAGCAGC